AAUAAAUGUGCUGCUCUCUGCCAGACUCUGGUGGGUCAUUAGUCCUCCCUAAGCUUACUAGCUGACCCAAUUUCGGGUAACAGUAGAAACUAGUCUUAUAAAGG